rnacentral:rRNA from 1 species
AUGAGAGGGAGAGAGAGAAGAGGUGGUGUAGCAGGGCCGGACCGCCGUCCUCUUCCACUCCAUCAACAGGCUUUCUCAACAGCAGGCUGCACCACCGCUCGAAAGCCACCGGUCUUCUUCCACUCCAUCAAUACAAUUUCAGCGGCAGGGAGUGCUUGCCAUAGUGGAAACGAAGCAAGAACUGGAUGGAGCUCAGGAUUUUGCUACUACCUUGCUAAUAGCUUUGUGAGGCAUGUCACCGAUGGCAAGUGCAAGAAGAAAGCACCAAGGAAAAUCCACAAAUCCAAGAGGCAGAAGCAUAAGCGCGUCCUGCUCAAUGAUCUCUUGGGUGAACUUAUCAAAAUGCUAGGUGAGUUAAAUAGGUGUGCAUCAAUCACUAGCCCCCUCGACACCUUAUAG